rnacentral:rRNA from 1 species
AGUCGUAACAAGGUUUCCGUAGGUGAACCUGCGGAAGGAUCAUUAAUGAAACUUCAAAGUCGGCAGACAGUUGUUGCUGGUGGAUCACUUCACAUGUGCACGCUGUCGGUCGCAAUCCACACACACCUGUGCAUCUAUGACUCGAAGUUGUAAUGACUGAGAGUAACUUUUACACACUCUUGUAUGUAAUGGAAUGUCUUUUGUGCUAUAAUGUACAAUAUAAACAACUUUCAACAACGGAUCUCUUGGCUCUCGCAUCGAUGAAGAACGCAGCGAAAUGCGAUAAGUAAUGUGAAUUGCAGAAUUCAGUGAAUCAUCGAAUCUUUGAACGCACCUUGCACCCUUUGGUAUUCCGAGGGGUACGCCCGUUUGAGUGUCAUUGUAAUCUCACUUCAACGACUUUUUGUUGUUUGAAUGUGGACUUGGAUGUUGCCGUGUUAUUACGGCUCGUCUUAAAUGCCUGAGUGUACCCUGUUUUGCAGCGUAUCCAGUGUAAUAAACAUUUCACUAGAGUUGNNUGAAAGACCGCGUUUGNAAUUUGGGCUCUAUGCUUCGAACCGUCUACUUGUAGACAACUUUUUGACAAUUUGACCUCAAAUCGGGUGGGACUACCCGCUGAACUUAAGCAUAUCAAUAAGCGGAGGAGAAGAAACUAACAAGGAUUCCCCUAGUAACGGCGAGUGAAGAGGGAAAAGCUCAAAUUUUAAAUCUGGUGUCUUUGACUCCCGAGUUGUAAUCUAGAGAAGUGUUUUCCGUGUCGGACCGUGUACAAGUUCCCUGGAACGGGGCGUCAUAGAGGGUGAGAAUCCCGUAUAUGCCACGGACUACCGAUGCUCUGUGAUACACUCUCAACGAGUCGAGUUGUUUGGGAAUGCAGCUCAAAAUGGGUGGUAAAUUCCAUCUAAAGCUAAAUAUUGGCGAGAGACCGAUAGCGAACAAGUACCGUGAGGGAAAGAUGAAAAGCACUUUGGAAAGAGAGUGAAACAGUACGUGAAAUUGUUGAAAGGGAAGCGUUUGAAGUCAGUCGCAUCUGUUGGGGUUCAGCCUGGCUUCUGCCUGGUGUAUUUCCUUUCCGAUGGGUCAGCAUCAGUUUCGACCGAGGGAAAAAGACAUUUGGAAUGUGGCUGUCUUCGGGCAGUGUUAUAGCCUUGUGUUGUAUGUCUCGGUUGGGACUGAGGAUUGCAGCGCGCCAUAAAUGGCCGGGGGUCGCUCCUCUCGACACGCGCUUAGGAUGCUGGCAUAAUGGCUUUAAGCGACC